CGAUUUUAAGAGCCCUUUAAGUCAAAAAAAAAGGGCUUCAUCAUGUGGACGAGUGCAGGGUUAAAUCAAUUAACACUGCUAAAUUCGACCUCAACUCCUAGUGUAGACAAGGGCAUAGAAAGGGGAGAUUUUUCUGUAGCCUCCCAGCUGGCCAAACUGGUCAUAAAGGUUAGAGCAAUUUUUUUUUUUUAAAUUUUCAGAUUUAAUCCCGAGUCUUCUUUAUCACAGGCCUCCUGAAAACCACUUCCUUCCCAUAGCAGGAAAGUUGACAAGAGGGAGGAAGAGUGACUCAGAAUUGGAUUGCAAAAGAAAGGCAGUAACACAAAAACAUUUGCCAGGAGUCAGUGAUUAGCACAGGUCAGGAAUUUUUCAUCUAAUGAUUUUGUUUGUUGUUGUUGUUG